CCUACGGGUGGCAGCAGUGGGGAAUAUUGCACAAUGGGGGAAACCCUGCUGCAGCGACGCCGCGUGAGUGAAGAAGUAUUUCGGUAUGUAAAGCUCUAUCAGCAGGGAAGAUAAUGACGGUACCUGACUAAGAAGCCCCUGCUAACUACUUGCCAGCAGCCGCGGUAAGACGUAGGGGGCAAGCGUUCUCCGGAUUUACUGGGUGUAAAGGGAGCGUAGGUGGCAGGGCAAGUCAGAUGUGAAAACCCAGGGCUCAACCCCGGGAGUGCAUUUGAAACUGUCCAGCUGGAGUGCAGGAGAGGUAAGUGGAAGUCCUAGUGUAGCGGUGAAAUGCACAGAUAUUAGGAGGAACACCAGUGGCGAAGGCGACUUACUGGACUGUAACUGACACUGAGGCUCGAAAGCGUGGGGAGCAAACAGGAUUAGAUACCCCAGUAGUC
rnacentral:rRNA from 1 species